GAAUGCCAAGUUUUGGGCUCCUUACAUUUAUCAGCUGCAUGGUUGUAUACUGAAGACAUCGAGGUAGCAUAACAUCAUCAAUUGUUGUUGUAAGAAAAUGGCCCGAGCUAUGGGGAACCUCGUUAACGCAGAGAUAAAUGACCGCACAAGAGAAGACAGCUUUCGGGUUUGGCAUCACCCAAAUAUUCCAAUAGGACCGCUCGUGACAGGAGGAUUUUCCUGUAUCAAUUCCGUGACUUCAACAGUAGCAUGCACCGCCUGUGGACUGGAGGUAGACGCUUCAAAUCUGAACGGUACAAAUCCUUCUGUCUUUCAUGUCCAACGUUCUCCUGAGUGUUUGUUUUUCUACCCAGAUCACCCUUACAGAAAGCUGUCAGACCGCAUACAGACCUACCUGUAUUGGAGUGGAUACAGUGGGGCCCCGGAUAUUGAUGAUCUCGCUACAUCUGGAUUCUAUGUUACCGAUUUUGGCCAGGAGGAAGUUCGAUGCUUCUGCUGUGAUUUACUUUGUCCAUUGUUACUGGGUCAAAUAGUUGAUAUCAGAAGGGAACACGCUCUUCUUAGCCCGAACUGUGCAUUCAACAAAAA